UAGGGGUGUAAGUGGGUCGAUUUGGGUUGGGUUUGGCCAAACCCAAGACCCGAACCAUAUAGGAUACUCCGGUUUGGGUUAGGUAAAAUAUCCACCCGUUAAAUUAAUGGGUGGGUUUGGGCAAACCCACUAAUUUCCGGUUUGGUUUUGGUUGGGUAGUGGGUUACCCAAUAUUUUUUUUUUUGUUAAUAUGAAAUGACUAAACGACG
rnacentral:lncRNA from 1 species